rnacentral:SRP_RNA from 1 species
GCCGGGCGUGGUGGCGCGCGCCUGUAGUCCCAGCUACUUGGGAGGCUGAGGCUGGAGGAUCACUUGAGCUCAGGAGUUCUGGGCUGCAGUGCGCUAUGCCGAUCGGGUGUCCGCACUAAGUUCGGCAUCAAUAUGGUGACCUCCCGGGAGCGGGGGACCACCAGGUUGCCUAAGGAGGGGUGAACCGGCCCAGGUUGGAAACGGAGCAGGUCAAAAAAUACACUGCAUUGUCUCGCAACCAUGUGUCUGUUCCUGAGUCAUCUCCCUCGCGUCUCUGAGUGAGUAGCAGCCCA